ensembl:lncRNA
GUAACGCUAGGUUCAAGAGAUCCACCCUAUCAGAUGCCAUGCACAAUUAUUUAGCUGGCUGCCUCCACCCACUUUCAACCAGAAUUGGUUGGGCUGCUUUCUCUGGAUCACUGAAUGGUUGAGAAAUGAGUUAACACCAAAGACCCUGAGAGAGGUUUUGUACCGUUGCUUGCCAUUCAUCAUGAGUUUCACCAAAACCUACAAGAAAAGCCUGUGUUGCUACGGAGACGUGUUACAAUAUUCUACGGUAUUAGGUAUAUAAGUGCACAAAGGCAUUGUGUGUUGGUCAUCCUAUUGCUAUCAUUCAACAAAGAGGUAAGCAAGGUGUGAAUGUGAAAAUCCCAUUUCUCACCUAUUCUAACUUGACUACUUACAAUCUCUUUGAUAGGCAUGAGCCCUUCUGCUCCAGAGACCUGUGUUUAGUUGGUAAAUAAAAGUUGCUCUAACUUUUUCA